rnacentral:lncRNA from 1 species
GCUGAAAUACAGCACAAGAAAAACACUAUUCCAGGUGUAACAGUUGAGUUGAUGGCCAAGGAAUCACACAUCACUGUUUGCUUUGAGCAAGCAAAUUUCUGUCCUGAAGAAAUUUAUGGCAUCUCGGAUCAAAAUGAGCCACCAAAACACUGGUGUGGCAUCCUGAAUUGUGGAGAAAACGGAGGAGGUAACAUCAGUACUGAGUACAAGACUGUUUGCUGUGAAGCAGAGGCAGAUGUCUGGCGCCACAACCCUGACCUGAAGUGCUACAUUCAGGAGUCACAUCCAAAACACACUGCACUGGCAGGUGCCAUUCCUGGUAAUCCUGAAUUUCUCACCAGCAAAAAGAGCAGCCUUGGCAUCUUGCUGUCAUUCCUGUUUGUUGGGGUUUGCACAGGAUGGGGCACCAUGUAUUACUUCUUGCGGCUGCGGCGUCGCCAAGGUACAGUCUGACAAAUUGUGUGUUGCCCGUGGGUCCCAUACCUGGAAGGGGGAAAAGCAUA